ACUGGAAGUUUUAAAUAUGAAUGGAAAGGUGGUUAAAAGGUAAAUCAUGUUGUAUUUCAGGUUUCUAGAGCCAUCUGCAGCAACUCCUUGUGUGUGUCACCUCUGUGCUGGAGUGUGAAGCCAGCUGUGUGUUUGGGGCUGUUCAAUAAUUCAGCCUCAGAACCCCAGAUUGUCAAACUGCUCUUAGAAGUGUUCAUCUUUCCAGGGAAGGCAGCAUCGGUUCUGGUCUGUAAAUAUGUACAACAGUUUAUGACUUUCAUGAAAUAUUGGAGGAAUGCAGAGAUGAGAAGUUUAGUAGUACGGUGAUGGAGUACGUACAAAGAAUGCAGCGGAUAAUGGCAGUCCUGUCCUCUGAACAGAUGGUGAUGGUCCUGUUGCUAGGAUAAGGCCUGAAGAAUUUAGUUUUUAAUUCCACAUUAUUUGCCUCAGUGCCAUGAAUAUCCCUAGGUUUCCUCGGGCAAAAAUACAACAAAUACACAGAAAGAGAAAGAGAAGUGACACGCGGAAAGAAAA